CCUGUCGAUGAUGCUGAACCUACAUAGUUUGAGUUUCACUGCCAUGAGAAAACUUCACAUGCACUACCAUCUGAGACAGC
ensembl:snoRNA SNORD33 Small nucleolar RNA Z195/SNORD33/SNORD32 family